rnacentral:rRNA from 1 species
AUACGGAGGGUGCGAGCGUUGUUCGGAAUUAUUGGGCGUAAAGAGCAUGUAGGCGGUCUGUUAAGUCUGGUGUGAAAGCCCUGGGCUCAACCCAGGAAGUGCAUUGGAUACUGGCGGACUUGAGUAUGGGAGAGGAAAGCGGAAUUCCGAGUGUAGGAGUGAAAUCCGUAGAUAUUCGGAGGAACACCAGUGGCGAAGGCGGCUUUCUGGACCAAUACUGACGCUGAGACGCGAAAGCGUGGGGAGCAAACAGGAUUAGAAACCCCGGUAGUCC